rnacentral:lncRNA from 1 species
UGGCGCCUCCUCUCACCUCUUUUCUUUUGUCUUCCGCUGCAUCUCCAUGGUGGAAAAUCACCAUUAAAGGACCCCAUUGAAGCUCAAAGAUCCAGCCUCUAUAGAAGCCCCACAAGCAAGCUUCCAUCAGGAAUGCUCAGUGAGAUGAAGAAGGAUUAGACAAUGGUUUGAGUAUGCACGAGUGAGGUUUAUAGCGUAC